GCAAAACCUUCAAUAAUAAUAAAGCAAAAAAGGAAGGCCAUGCCAUUCUCUCUCUUACUCUCCCUGCUCUCUGUAUAAGUAUCUGACCUUCUCCCGAUUUCGCCCUUGCAGGUUCCCUCUUUCUCCUUGAUCUCUUCUUCUCAGGACUUAGAUCCCAUCUCAGCUGUUCUGUUACAUAUUACACUUCUCCUUCUCUUUUUUUUUUUUUUUUGCUCCAGAUUUUUCUCUGUUCUCCAAUCAUGUGUGUGUGUGUGUGUGUGUGUGUUUGUAUUUUCGAGUUUAGGUUAUGCUUGAUAUAUUUUCCUACACUUAAACUACUUCCGACAUUUCCCGCCUUUCCAGUUUUCCUUGAGCCAUCGUAAAAGAAGAUAGAGAUUUGUCCAGGUGGAGUCUUUUGGCUCUAAAUCUAAUAAUCCGAGAGGGAUCAUUGCUGUUCGGGUUCGAUUUUGAAGAGUGAAAGAACUGGGUUUCUUGCCCUUCCUCUUCUUAUUUUUUUUUCAAAAGACUUUUCUUUUCAUUACCCAGAAUCUUGAAAACGUUUUUUUCAGAAGCCAUACAGUUAGUCAGACCUGGAGAUUUCUGAGCUAUUUGCUUGCCUCGAGAUCCCUUUCGAUCGCUCUCUACUGUUUGCUGUCGACCUUGAUUCUAAUGCUGAAAGCAUAAGGCUGAAGAACUAAAAAGCGAAGAUUGGGGUUUGGCUUUUCUUUCGUAGGUUUCUCGAGGGAUUAGUUCUUAAAUCAAACAUGAUUUUUCCGGGCUCAUCAGCUCCUCCCGCUGCCAAAAAAACUUCGGUUUUUCACUUUCUUCUUUAUCCCCUUUACUUUCCGCUAGCUUUGUCUCUUGCGGUGUUCCUUUCUUUUUCUGAUCUGUCUCUGGGAGACUAUUUUCAGCGAGCUAUAAGGCUUUUAUUCCUCCCUUUUCUGGCCAUAUAUAUAAUCAUUUCGAUUCGACGAUGAGAUUGGUAAUCCCGUGGAUAUUUACUUUUUUGGGCUAUAUCAUUGCAUGGGCAGAGAUUGGUUCAGUCGUUGUUUGCAGAUGUAGCAUCAUCAAGAUUCACAUGCAAAUGCAACAAGUGGAAGCGGGAUUGUGAAUGAUGGAUACAAUCUUAUCAAAAUCUCUGUCUCUCUAGCUACAUAGUUUCUUUCGGAAGUGAGAAUCUUGAUGAUGCUGCAUCGGCCAUGAACGACUUUGUAAAAGCAAACAGCCAAACACCCAAGCCUCUCAGAUUCUGUCUGCUGUGCACAGUGAAAUAACAACAGGUGACUCAUCUCUUUCUUUCUUUCUCUCUACUUUCCCUCUUGUUGUUAUCGUCGUCAGGUGGGUCUUCCUAAUAUUUAAUAAGAUUCUUUAAGUCUUGUGAUUUUAUUUUAUACAGAAAUCAACAACAAUCUCUAGAUCCUUCGCAUCUAGCAGAGGAAAUCCUAGGUUAUCAAAUAUAUGUGUAGGAUAUAUUUGGAGGCUGUGUUUGAGCGGCGGUUAGGGCCUUUUACUGCUGCUGACUUCACAGAUCUAUAUAUGAAUAUUCUUGUCCAGCAGAUCAUGACUUCAUGCUUGGAUUAAAAAUAGUAUCUUUUCACUGCUUUCUCAUCCAGAUCUAUAUAUCCUUCUAAAUCUAGACUCAGAAAUAGCACCCAGAUUUGGGUUUUAAUUAGGGUACGGAACCCUUACUUAUUAGUCUUAUUAUAUGUAUACUAUUCAUGGCCUGUGAUCUGAAGACAUAUCUGUAUAUAUUAUUGAUGGCUUGUGAUCUGAAAAUAUAUCUAGGACACAAACACAGACUAUCUGUGACUUGACUCUGGGUCUUCUAUAAUAUUAUAAUAUACAUGAUUAGAAAAUAAGUUAAAUUGUAGACAUUCUUGCAAGUGGGUGACAAACACACACACACACACACACACACACGUGAGGAAUGAAGGUCAUUGAAAUUUGAAAUUGAAGCUGGCUUCUUCGGAACUUGGAUUAUACAUAAAAAAAAAAAAGGGAACAGUUUGUUUCACUAUUAUGGGGAAGGAGGUGACUUUGGCUUUAAUCAGAGAUGAGUGUGUUGCUGGUGGACCAACUGAAGCAGAUAGCUAGGGACAUCUUACAAGUUGGGGUUGGAUUAUCGCGGCGAUGGAUGGCAACUGGUGGCGCUCAUGGCGGUGGCAGUUAAGAUGAUCCGUGUUAUAUUAAGUCGAUUUUAUGACAUAGUUCGCAUUUCCGUCCGUUUUAAUUUACAGUCCAAACUCUUGCUUAGAAAUCUUUCUCUACUUCAAAAUGAGGUUAUAUUCAGGCGACAAUUGAAGGAAAAACAAAACAAAUGCAGUUUUUUUCCAUCUCAGCUCGUCGCUCUCAGAUGAUCAAGGCUCAGCUCUCCUUCGUCAUAAGUUUAUGAAGUUUGUGUAAUUUGAUUCUCUGAGGUAUUACUUAUGAACUCAAAUGAGCUAAUAAAUUUGGUUGGAAGGCUACUAUGGUCUUUUCCGAUUUGGAGUCUCCGGUAUGGAAAUUGUCUGUAAUUACAUGCAUGCUUUUGUAAGUUAAUAGUAUAUAUAUUCGAUGCAACUUUUUAUCCUUA